UACGUAGGUGACAAGCGUUGUCCGGAUUUACUGGGCGUAAAGAGCGCGCAGGCGGUCGAUCAAGUCGAGUGUGAAAGCCCCCGGCUCAACUGGGGAGGGUCAUUCGAUACUGAUCGACUCGAAGGCAGGAGAGGGUAGUGGAAUUCCCGGUGUAGUGGUGAAAUGCGUAGAUAUCGGGAGGAACACCAGUGGCGAAGGCGGUUCUCUGGGCCUUACCUGACGCUGAGGAGCGAAAGCGAUGGGGAGCGAACGGAGGA
rnacentral:rRNA from 1 species